UACGAAGGGGACUAGCGUUGUUCGGAAUCACUGGGCGUAAGGCGCACGUAGGCGGAUUUGUAAGUCAGGGGUGAAAUCCCGGGGCUCAAUCUCGGAACUGCCUUUGAUACUGCGAAUCUCGAGUCCGAUAGAGGUGGGUGGAAUUCCUAGUGUAGAGGUGAAAUUCGUAGAUAUUAGGAAGAACACUGGUGGCGAAGGCGGCCCACUGGAUCGGUACUGACGCUGAGGUGCGAAAGCGUGGGGAGCAAACAGG
rnacentral:rRNA from 1 species